GUAACAAGGUCUCCGUUGGUGAACCAGCGGAGGGAUCAUUAUAGAGUUUUCUAAACUCCCAACCCAUGUGAACUUACCUUUUGUUGCCUCGGCAGAAGUUAUAGGUCUUCUUAUAGCUGCUGCCGGUGGACCAUUAAACUCUUGUUAUUUUAUGUAAUCUGAGCGUCUUAUUUUAAUAAGUCAAAACUUUCAACAACGGAUCUCUUGGUUCUGGCAUCGAUGAAGAACGCAGCGAAAUGCGAUAAGUAAUGUGAAUUGCAGAAUUCAGUGAAUCAUCGAAUCUUUGAACGCACAUUGCGCCCAUUAGUAUUCUAGUGGGCAUGCCUGUUCGAGCGUCAUUUCAACCCUUAAGCCUAGCUUAGUGUUGGGAAUCUACUUCUCUUAGGAGUUGUAGUUCCUGAAAUACAACGGCGGAUUUGUAGUAUCCUCUGAGCGUAGUAAUUUUUUUCUCGCUUUUGUUAGGUGCUAUAACUCCCAGCCGCUAAACCCCCAAUUUUUUGUGGUUGACCUCGGAUCAGGUAGGAAUACCCGCUGAACUUAAGCAUAUCAAUAA
rnacentral:misc_RNA from 1 species